rnacentral:rRNA from 1 species
GACGAACCGUGCGAACGUUGUUCGGAUUCACUGGGCUUAAAGGGCGCGUAGGCGGCUCGCCAAGUCAGGGGUGAAAUCUUUCGGCUCAACCGGAAAACAGCUUCUGAUACUGGCGGGCUGGAGGGAGGUAGGGGCGGAUGGAACUUCCGGUGGAGCGGUGAAAUGCGUAGAUAUCGGAAGGAACGCCGGUGGCGAAAGCGAUCCGCUGGACCUCCUCUGACGCUGAGGCGCGAAAGCUAGGGGAGCAAACAGG